rnacentral:pre_miRNA from 1 species
GAAUAACUCAUCAAGAUCUAAAACUUUUAUUUUGGUCAUUUCUUCAUACGAUAAAGUGAUAGUAACAUUGUUCAUAAAAUUAACAUAUCUCUUAUCUGGUUUUAUAAACUAUAACACAUAUAUGUAAAAUUUGUGAAUAAUAUUACUAACAUUUCAUCGGAUGAAGAAAUAACAAAAAUAAAAGUUUUAGAUCUUGAUGGGUUAUUC